rfam:Symbiodinium microadriaticum strain CCMP2467 Smic.scaffold363, whole genome shotgun sequence.
GUUCUGGCAAUGAAGAGUAUUUCUUUGCAUAGUUCACUCGGACGCACGGGAUGACGAUGCACUCACAGUCUUUCGCUCCUAUCUGAGCCUGCAA